rnacentral:SRP_RNA from 2 species
UGACAGGCUAUGCUGGCGGGCCAGCCCUCCGCUGUGACCGACUAUGGGCUUCAGUCGGAGCGAAUCAAGGAAGCGGUGUAUCCUGCAUAUCUGAGUCCUUUUAUGGAUGCUGACUUCCUGUCUUUCAGGAUCGUUUUUGAGGGGAACCGUGUCAGGUCAGGAAUGAAGCAGCACUUACGCUCAAAAAGGGUGCUUGAGAGGUCGCAGGAACGAGUUCAUGAAAGGGUAAAGCUCAGGUAGGUGUUGUACAUCCACUCCUUGGCGCCUGUCG